rnacentral:lncRNA from 1 species
CACAGUUCUAAUAUAGAAUGUUGUGGGUUCUGAAUUUGCUCGUGUAAGCCAAGCGCAAACACUACUAUCAGUAACACUGUCAAAGCUGUACAAAAAAAGUCUGCAAACACCAGCCAUGAACGAUUUGUUUACAAUACCGCGUUCGUUAACCGGGCAUGUUCACUAGAUAACGUUAAAUUGCCGCUUAUUGUGACUCGCUUGUGGGCGUGCUGGCAGCAUUUUGACCGUGCGUCAAAAAUUCAGCAUAGCAAGUUUGUAUGAGGGUCUGAUUAUUAAAUGAGUAAUUCGAUCAAUAGUAAUAUCCUCUAAAACGCUCUGGUGACAAACUUUGCUACCCUGUUUCCAAUUGUUCACAUGGCUGGGAGAACCUAUUCAAUUAAUGUGUAGGGCACUGCAAGGUUGGGUGACCAGGGCCACUAGGGACUGCCUCCUGGAGGAAUUCAGGUGUGUGAAGGCUACCUGUGUCCUGCAUAACUUCAUGAGGAUGGACACACGGACCAGAGGAGAAGUCUGCUGCUCUGCAGGAUGUUUCAAGGAUGGGGUCCAACAACGCAGCAAGAGAGGCAAUCUGUGUGCCGGAGAUCUUCACCUCCUACUUCUACUAAGAGGGUGCUGUUCCCUGACAAUGCCAUAGACUACACUAUGCACAACCAAAGGCUCUUUUAAGAGCCAUUCACAUUGCAAUAAGAGUAUUCUUCCAUUUACUUAGCUAUGUCAACUGCAGUUAUUCAAUUCCCACUUUCUCUCCCUUUGAUUUCUACUUCAGGUGAGGGUGCUUUUUAGGUAAGGGUGUGAUGUCUGUACAAAAACAAAACGGGCUAUUUUAAAUCACCCAUAUUGAAAAAAUGUAGAACAAUUAGACACCCUAUAACCCAAACACAUGUAUCAAUCUGAUUGAUGAAUUGUGUUGUGCAGUAAGCAGGCUCAGGUGUAUAACUGGCUCCUUCCACCUUCAAAAAAUAGGCAAGGCCAACAAUGGAGAACAGUAAGACACUUCAUUAUUUCUAUAACUACGCUAUAUUGUUUGUCCUCGUGUGUCCGUUCAUGUUUUUCAGCAUAAAAUACUCUGUAGCCACUUAGUAUGAACACCAGGUGAGGCCACACGCACAAAUUCCUGUUGAACACUUGUCUCUUUAACUAUCUUAUUUUCUCAAUAAGUCUUUCUUCUUCACUUCAUCCCUCUUCUUCCUAAAUCCUCUAGGUUAUAUCAGCUGUGUAGGUGAACCCCUCCCGCAUCAGACCUGGCUACAUAGAGGGCACAGCAUGGUGAGAGGUCACUUGGUCAGGUCAACAGGAAGUAUUAUUAAAGAGAUGCUUUACAUUGAAAUACAGAUAGAGAUGCAGUAGUCCCAGAGUUAAUUAUCCAAGAUCAGUUUUGCAUUUCACUUCCUGAUGAUUGAUGACUAACAAUGUUUGAAUAAAAAAAUUAAAACAAGGUUUAAACAUGCUAUCGCUGUCUCUCGUCUGCAGAUAUAUUUUGACAUGAGAGGAUGCAGACCCCCAGUUCCAUCAUCGCCACCUUACCCGCUCUUAAGAUAACCUUCUAGCCAACUACAAACACUACGUAAUUUUGAUGAACUGAGAGAACAUUUGGGUAGCACUGAUUCAUUAAUCAUAUGCUGCCUUCCCUGCUCUUACCUCUUUCCCUUUUACACCUCUUCCUCUGUUUUUAUAAUGCACAACAGAUGUGCAUUGAAGUACAGAUUGAACUUGUAUUUAUAUUAUAAUAUUUAAUGCAUGUAUUUAUAACACUUGGAUAAUGAACUUCUUUCAAUAAAGCAUUUCACGUUCUC